AUCCUUUCGUAGUUCAAGAGUACAUUGAUUGGGCGUUCACGUGCAUCUAUCUCAGAUGUGUCACCCUCAAACCUUUUUAGGAUGUUGGCACAUUACCCGUCUGACA
ensembl:snoRNA